GACGCGCAUCGCGUCUCAUUUGGGCCUCGCGUCAAAUUGGCCUGUUAGUGUUCGAACCUACCUCUCUCCUUCGGCUCCGACUCUUCUUCUCCAUCACGAUCGUUUCAAGAUCAUUCUUUUUUUACCUGUUUCGAAAUCUAGAUCUAAAACGCAAACAGUUAACUCUUCCACAUCCUCUCUCUCUCUCUCUCAGUAACCGGUUGUCCCUUUUGAUUGAAGGAGUUAUACAUCGGAGAAGAAGAUGGUCUCCACCAAAGAGAUAGAAAAUUAGUGACUUCGAGCUAUUGGGUGGUGUCUCUACCAGUGAAGGACUCUGCUUGGAAGCAUUCCUUUGAUACUCAUGUUUAUCGGGAACUCAAUAGUUUCAUCAAUUCCAUUGAAAAUUAGCAAAGAUCUCCCGAUUGCGUUCUGACGAUCUGAUAUCUUCCACUUCACAGCUUAAAUUCCUAAUCUUUGGGUUGGAACAUUAAAUCUCUCUCGAAGAUGGUCUGCUCAAAGAACAAGGAGAAUUACAAAAAAAAUUGCUCCACAGGGUGAACCGCAAUAACAGAAUAUGAGAAUCUUCUGAGAUGGUGCUAUUCUCCAUCUCAAUUAACCAAAGAGAGUGCGUUAAAUAUUUGCCUGGCUGGUAUUGAAGACACGACGGAGCCUUUGGAGACGUAACUAAACUUUUGAAAUAUCAAACAUGUUGCUAGAGGAAGCACUGACACUGGCUCGUGCCUUCAGCCACUUUCUUAACAUGAUAGGCGUUGCCAAAACCCAUCAUAGGCUAGCUAACUACACUAGACAUCCGUGUCACAAAAAUAAAAAGAUUUAGUCAAUUUAUGUUUUCAUACACUUGGAAGAUUGCUUUAUCAUUUAGAAUUUUGUUUUCCUAUUUUCAGAGUUAGUAGAGACUGCUACCUUCCACACCUCAUGAGGUCAUGCAACGAUGUAUUCACUAAGCCGAGGCAAGGUGGUAUUUCCCCAUAUGAGCUUCACUACUUAGUUUGCAAACAGUGUAGAUGAUGAAGAAAGAUCAGAGCAGCAUCUCAUAAAUGCAGCAGACAAAGAGGUUGUGUAUCUAAAAAUAAACCAAUGGGACUUACUAGAGAAGAUACCUAAGAAGCCAACCAGCGAUUACUUCCUUCUGAAAAAUCAUAAACAAAGGGAGUAAAGUGGCAUUCGCUCCUAAUUAUUGUGAUUGAACUACCCGUAAAAUUGGUUCAGUAUUCUUCUCACUCUACGAAUGUAAAAGAAAACAUAUAUAUAUAUAUCUAGGAAGCGAUGUUCUCUUCGAAGGAAUGAGACAUUUUAAUCUAUGAGCAAAAGCCACUAGCAAGUUCUUUGUUUCCUGAUCUGAAACAUUUUAUAUCCUAUGUAAAUUAUGUCUCUUGAUGACCU